UUCCUAUAGUUUUAGGCUUUAAAUACACCAAACCCCUCCCAGUCAGCGCGCUAGUUGCUAGCUGCUACUGCUAGUCGCUGGCCUGCUAAAAUAAACUUGCGGGUUUUUUUUCCUGAAGUUCUCUGGCGUCUUUUUGAUUUUUGGAUCCAAUUUGGAUUGAUUUUUGCAGGUGGGCUGCCUCAGGACUUCCCCACUGUACUUUGAAGAGUCUACAGAAUUGUUUUCAAUGAAGACAGACCUUGGCUUAUUACUAGGAAAAAGCUCCAUUGUGGGUGUCAGGGCUUUGAAAUUUAAAUCACUGGAUUCAGCCUGCCCUGGGAUCGCUCCCAGCCGAAGCCUCCUCUGGUCCGCUCCCCGCGGCUCCUUCCGUGCUUCGCUCCGAAGCCUCUACCGGUCCGCUCUCCGCGGCUCCUUCCGGGCUUCUACUUCCCCCCAGGGGUGGCACCAGUAUAUAUACGGAUACAGUGUCCAAUCAUAUUAAAAGUCUCACCGUUUCCCAGUUUGGACUCCAACCCGGAUCUUCCUGCCUCGGCCUCCAAGUGCUGCGGGUCCAGGUGUGGCAGCCAUACCUAGGCCUGACUGAUGAUUUUCAAAACGUUCGAGUUCAUCAAAUCUCAGGGAAAUGUUGCUGUCAGGAGGAGCCCAGGGGACGGGACUGCUCGGUGAGAGACUGGAACAGAAAAGGGACAUUAGGGGGAAGAAGAGGCUGAGAGGCCUUGCUCCCGGUUGGUGGCUUCUGACAAAUGCUCCAAAGUAGUGAGGUUUGUGACAACGCGACCCAGGCACAGGCACUGCCCUGAGACAGACAUUGCUUCAGACACGCUUUCCGGAUGCUGAGACCACAGCUCCCGAGAGCAGUGAGUGGACAGUGGUCUUUCAGCAUCAAAGAAGAAAUCAAGGAAUCAUAUUUUUAGUUCGAACACAGCCUUAUCGGGAUACAGAAACAUCAGUUAUUUAUAUAUGUAUAUAUAUAUAUAUAUAUAUAUAUAUAUAUAUAUAUAUUGUGUGUGUGUGUGUGUGUGUGUGUGUGUGUGUGUGUGUGUUUGGUACUGGGGACCCAAUCCAAGGUUGUGCUACCAAUGAGGUACAUCCUGAUAUUUCUUUCAAGGCAGAGUCUGACUGCCAGGCAUGGUGGUUCAGCCUGUAAUCCCAGCAUUCAGGAGGCUGGGGCAGAAGCAUCACUGUGAGUUUGAGACCAGGCUAUAGCAAGACCCUGUCAUAACACAACACAACACAGCAAGACUGAGUGUUGCUCAGGUUGGUCUUGAACUGGAGAUCCUCCUGCCUCAGCAUCUCAAGUUACCUGCAUGGAGGUUAUGUGCACCGCGCCUAGAUUUUUUUUUUUUUUUUGUAUGUUUGUUCAACUGUCUUGAGACAGCUUCAGUAAGUUCUCCAAGCUCCCCUGGAGCUCUUAGCUCUUACCUCUUAGUCGGCCUGUGUCAGGGCACCGCCUUCUGCGGUUGUCGUUGGGGAUCCCCUCCUGGGCAGCAGACUCUGCUCUCUGCCGCGUCUCUCCAGUCUCCCCAUCCACUCCAGGUUCAAACAGCUGUUGCCAGAUUGCCCAGGUGUUGUGCUGACGCUUGGCCUGCUCGGGCUCGGGAACUCCCUCUUCCUCCUGUACUGGAUUCACGUCAUCUGGUCAACAAUGGCUUUGUUGCCAUGGAGACCGGACUGGCCGCAAGACAGUCACGGUCCGCACAGGUGUGACCGGGAAGGUCUCCACCUCACCUGCGGCCUCCGGCUGUGCGGCAGCUGCAGACAGCGGCAGAGACCCCGCGUGCCGGUCCCCAGCUGCGCUGUCCCGCCGCGGUGGCCCCGGCGCUGCAGGCCGGGGAGGCCGGGACGCUGCGUCCUGUCCGAGGGACCGUGUCCCGCAGACCCGCCAGCAGCGCGGUGGGUGAGCGGCUUCCUGUCCCUCCAGUGUCGCCAGGUGACGCCUCCGGGCUCUUGUGUAUUUUUAGCUGGGGCAGAGAAGAACCUGGAGCCCAAGCUGCUCAUCUCUGAUGGAGGCGUCUUCCUGAAUCCGCCUGCGGCUCCUCCUCUCUCGGUGUGAAAAAUAAAAGCCGUGGCGUUGGACGCCCCCUCCCCGAGGCCUGAAUAAGUGUGAAUACUGCAGCUGAGAAUCACCGGGGCUGGCACACGUGGUGGGUUAACCUCCCCCCACUUCCCUCCCUCCCUCAUUCCGCCCCUUCACGGGGUCUUAUUUGUAGUUCCAAACUGGCCGUGAACUUGUGAUUCUCCUGCCUCAGCCUUCCAAGUGCACGGAUUUCAGGCUCACAGACAUUUUAAUAGUACUAACCACAUGCGUGCAUGCUGGCAGUGGAGCUGGUCGCUUCACUCGCUGAUUUUGUGACAUUUCUGUGAUGUAUCACAUGCUGGGUACUGAAAUAAGGGUAUUGAGAUCUUAACAUUCUAAGACUAGGGAUGCGUGUAAUAAGCAUGUAUAAAAGUAAAAAGUGUUAGCCUUUCCAUUUGGAGACUUAAAGUGUGAAAGAACGGGGAAUCUGUUACUUUACAGAGAUCUCAUUGUGAGCAGUGCAGAGUAUAUUUUUGUUUUUGUUUUGUGGUACUAGGGAUUGAACCCACGGCCUUUGUUCUAAGUUACAUGUUCACUUUAUUAAUUUUCUUUUAAAUUUUGAAGCAGGGUCUUGUUGCUAAGUUGCUAAAUUCCCUGGGAAGUUGCCAUCUUCCUGUCUUAGCUUCCUAGAAUGCUAGCAUGACAGCUUGUGUGUCUUGUUUCUUUGACAGUAUACAUUUAGGCAAAACUAAACAUACACCAUCUAAAUAAUUUGGCACUUUCUUUUCUUCUUUGACUUGAUUUUAUGUCAUAAGCACUUUCCCCUGUCAUUAUGAACUCUUCCUAAAUAAUCUUAUUGAUGAUCAUUUCAUGCUUAUAUUAUGUACAAAAUGUCAUCAUUUUUCCAUGUACUAUGACAUGGAUCAAAGAGUUUAUUUUUUAAGUCAUACAUCUGUGUCAUAACCCAUAAAUAUGUACAAUUAUUAGUAUGUGUCAAGAAAAUAUAAAACAAAAUUGCAAUUAAAAGUAAUAAUGAUAAGCCAGGCAUGGUGGUGCACUCCUGAGACUCCAGCACUCAGGAGGCUGAAGGAGGACAAUCAUUGGCAAAUUUGAGACCAGCCUGGGCUAUAAAGUAAGCCCAAGGUCAGCCUGAACUUCACAGUGAGACCCUGUCUCAAAAAGACAAAUAAAAUAAAAAGUAAUCAUGAUAAUAAAUCUGUCUUGGCCACACUAUAACCAAAGUUCUUUGGAAAAGCCAACCUCAUGUGUGUUUUGCGCUAUCUUUGCUGUUUUCUUCAAGACACACGUGUGCAUAUGCGCUAACACAUGCACAUAUGUGUACACACACUCACAUAUGCGUACACAUACUCUGGAGCCCAAUGGACCACAGUUGCGGAUGUAACUCCUGGCUUUCUGUCCAGCAGGACAGUCAUUGUCCCUGCUCCUGGCCAUGGCCUUGUGAUGGACCCUGUCCUCUCCAUGGGCCAGGCCUGCUUUGUCUACAUGGCAUCCAGCCAGGAGCAGCCCAUUCCCACCCCCAGGAAUCCCAGCACUCCCGGAGGCUGAGGCAGGAGGAUUAUAACUUCCAGUCUAACCCGGGCAACUUAAUGAGACCCUGUCUCAUAAUUUAAAAUAUAGGCUGAGGCUGUAUCUCAGUUGGAGGAUCUUGGGCUCAAUUUCCAGCACUUCCAAACAAAACAAAAACAAAGAACUACCCAUGGGAACUAACUAGAUGGCACCUGUCCCAGGAGCAUCUUCCACUUUGGCCCCGUGUGGGCCACGCAGUAGGUGCUCAGAAUGUUGAAAAGGGUAGGGGACCACAGCACACUCCCUUUUAUUUUUAGUAAGCAAUACUGCUAGGUGUGAUGGCGCAGGCCAGUACUCACAGCACACAGGAGCCAGGGCAGGAGAACCAUGAAUUUGAAGCCAGUCUGGCUACACAGAGUCCAAGACCAGUGUAGAUUACACAGUGAGACCUUGGAGGUGUGACAGCAGACAGGGUGGGGUGAACCAGGCUGUGGAACCAGCGGGGCCUGUGAGUCACAAGAUCCCAGGCAACCAGGGCACCACAGAGAGCUUCCAUGAGCGCCUGUGAGAAGUGGAUGGCAAAAACGGCCCGGCUGGGGGAACCCACGUCCUGGUCUGCAUGCCGUCUCUGCUAGAGAGCUGUGUGCUUUCAUUUUUGCUUUUGCCUUUGUCUUUUUUCUUUGUUUGGCCCAAAUUCGCUCUGCAGAGCUGGUUUCUUCCAUAUCCAUUAACCCCGCACUUUUCAAAUAAACAUUGGAAACCGUU